rnacentral:rRNA from 1 species
AGAUAGUAAGGUGGCGGACGGGUGAGUAACACGUAAAGACUUGCCCUGCAGUCUGGGACAACUAUUGGAAACGAUAGCUAAUACCGGAUAUUGCUGCAUGGCGAAAGCUGUAUGCGCUGCAGGAGAGCUUUGCGUCCCAUUAGUUAGUUGGUGAGGUAACGGCUCACCAAGACCGCGAUGGGUAGCCGGCCUGAGAGGGUGAACGGCCACAAGGGGACUGAGACACGGCCCUUACUCCUACGGGAGGCAGCAGUGGGGAAUAUUGGACAAUGGACCAAAGUCUGAUCCAGCAAUUCUGUGUGCACGAUGACGGUCUUAGGAUUGUAAAGUGCUUUCAAUCGGGAAAAAGAAAGUGAUGGUACCGAUAGAAGAAGCGACGGCUAAAUACGUGCCAGCAGCCGCGGUAAUACGUAUGUCGCAAGCGUUAUCCGGAUUUAUUGGGCGUAAAGCGCGUCUAGGCGGUCUGGUAAGUCUGAUGUGGAAAUGCGGGGCUCAACUCCGUAUUGCGUUGGAAACUGCCAGACUAGAGUACUGGAGAGGUGGGCGGAACUACAAGUGUAGAGGUGAAAUUCGUAGAUAUUUGUAGGAAUGCCGAUAGAGAAGUCAGCUCACUGGACAGAUACUGACGCUGAAGCGCGAAAGCAUGAGGAGCAAACAGGAUUAGAUACCCUGGUAGUC